GAUGAAGAACGUAGCGAAAUGCGAUAAGUAAUGUGAAUUGCAGAAUUCAGUGAAUCAUCGAAUCUUUGAACGCACAUUGCGCCCGCCAGUAUUCUGGCGGGCAUGCCUGUCUGAGCGUCAUUUCAACCCUCAUGCCCCUAGGGCGUGGUGUUGGGGAUCGGCCAAAGCCCGCGAGGGACGGCCGGCCCCUAAAUCUAGUGGCGGACCCGUCGUGGCCUCCUCUGCGAAGUAGUGAUAUUCCGCAUCGGAGAGCGAUGAGCCCCUGCCGUUAAACCCCCAACUUUCCAAGGUUGACCUCAGAUCAGGUAGGGCUACCCGCUGAACUUAAGCAUAUCAAUAAGCGGAGGA
rnacentral:misc_RNA from 1 species